rnacentral:rRNA from 2 species
GCCUAUACAUGCAGUCGAACGAGUUCUCGUUGAUGAUCGGUGCUUGCACCGAGAUUCAACAUGGAACGAGUGGCGGACGGGUGAGUAACACGUGGGUAACCUGCCCUUAAGUGGGGGAUAACAUUUGGAAACAGAUGCUAAUACCGCAUAGAUCCAAGAACCGCAUGGUUCUUGGCUGAAAGAUGGCGUAAGCUAUCGCUUUUGGAUGGACCCGCGGCGUAUUAGCUAGUUGGUGAGGUAAUGGCUCACCAAGGCGAUGAUACGUAGCCGAACUGAGAGGUUGAUCGGCCACAUUGGGACUGAGACACGGCCCAAACUCCUACGGGAGGCAGCAGUAGGGAAUCUUCCACAAUGGACGCAAGUCUGAUGGAGCAACGCCGCGUGAGUGAAGAAGGCUUUCGGGUCGUAAAACUCUGUUGUUGGAGAAGAAUGGUCGGCAGAGUAACUGUUGUCGGCGUGACGGUAUCCAACCAGAAAGCCACGGCUAACUACGUGCCAGCAGCCGCGGUAAUACGUAGGUGGCAAGCGUUAUCCGGAUUUAUUGGGCGUAAAGCGAGCGCAGGCGGUUUUUUAAGUCUGAUGUGAAAGCCCUCGGCUUAACCGAGGAAGCGCAUCGGAAACUGGGAAACUUGAGUGCAGAAGAGGACAGUGGAACUCCAUGUGUAGCGGUGAAAUGCGUAGAUAUAUGGAAGAACACCAGUGGCGAAGGCGGCUGUCUGGUCUGUAACUGACGCUGAGGCUCGAAAGCAUGGGUAGCGAACAGGAUUAGAUACCCUGGUAGUCCAUGCCGUAAACGAUGAAUGCUAGGUGUUGGAGGGUUUCCGCCCUUCAGUGCCGCAGCUAACGCAUUAAGCAUUCCGCCUGGGGAGUACGACCGCAAGGUUGAAACUCAAAGGAAUUGACGGGGGCCCGCACAAGCGGUGGAGCAUGUGGUUUAAUUCGAAGCAACGCGAAGAACCUUACCAGGUCUUGACAUCUUUUGAUCACCUGAGAGAUCAGGUUUCCCCUUCGGGGGCAAAAUGACAGGUGGUGCAUGGUUGUCGUCAGCUCGUGUCGUGAGAUGUUGGGUUAAGUCCCGCAACGAGCGCAACCCUUAUGACUAGUUGCCAGCAUUUAGUUGGGCACUCUAGUAAGACUGCCGGUGACAAACCGGAGGAAGGUGGGGAUGACGUCAAAUCAUCAUGCCCCUUAUGACCUGGGCUACACACGUGCUACAAUGGAUGGUACAACGAGUUGCGAGACCGCGAGGUCAAGCUAAUCUCUUAAAGCCAUUCUCAGUUCGGACUGUAGGCUGCAACUCGCCUACACGAAGUCGGAAUCGCUAGUAAUCGCGGAUCAGCACGCCGCGGUGAAUACGUUCCCGGGCCUUGUACACACCGCCCGUCACACCUGAGAGUUUGUAACACCCGAAGCCGGUGGCGUAACCCUUUUAGGGAGCGAGCCGUCUAAUGGGGG